rnacentral:rRNA from 1 species
GAUGAACGCUGGCGGCGUGCCUAAUACAUGCAAGUCGAGCGAACAGACGAGGAGCUUGCUCCUCUGACGUUAGCGGCGGACGGGUGAGUAACACGUGGAUAACCUACCUAUAAGACUGGGAUAACUUCGGGAAACCGGAGCUAAUACCGGAUAAUAUAUUGAACCGCAUGGUUCAAUAGUGAAAUACGGUUUUGCUGUCACUUAUAGAUGGAUCCACGCCGCAUUAGCUAGUUGGUAAGGUAACGGCUUACCAAGGCAACGAUGCGUAUCCGACCUGAGAGGGUGAUCGGCCACACGGGAACGGAGACACGGUCCAGACGCCUACGGGAGGCAGCAGUAGGGAAGCUUCCGCAAUGGGCGAAAGCAUGACGGAGGAAGGCCGCGUGAGUGAUGAAGGUCUUCGGAUCGUAAAACUCUGUUAUUAGGGAAGAACAAAUGUGUAAGUAACUAUGGACGUCUUGACGGUACCUAAUCAGAAAGCAACGGCUAACUACGUG